GCGGGAGUGGCGAAAUUGGUAGACGCACCAGAUUUAGGUUCUGGCGCCUUCGGUGUAAGGGUUCGAGUCCCUUCUCCCGCACCA
rnacentral:tRNA from 3 species